GGGUAAGCGUUGAAAAGCUUUCCAAUGAGCUGAGGGUAGGGGUGAAAGGCUAAUCAAACUCGGAGAUAGCUCGUACUCCCCGAAAUGCAUUUAGGUGCAGCCUUGGGAAUUACUACUGUGAGGUAGAGCGACUGAUAAGAUGCGAGGGCUUCACCGCCUAUCAAGUCUUGAUAAACUCCGAAUGCGCGAUAUAUAUUUAAAGGGAGUGAGGGCAUGGGUGCUAAGGUCCAUGUCCUAAAGGAGAAGAAUCCAGACCAUCAGCUAAGGUCCCCAAAUAAUCGCUAAGUUGAACUAACGAAGUCAGAUUGCUAAGACAGCUAGGAUGUUGGCUUGGAAGCAGCCAUUCAUUUAAAGAGUGCGUAACAGCUCACUAGUCGAGCGAUCUGGCGUGGAUAAUAAUCGGGCAUCAAGCAAUUUACCGAAGCUAUGGGAUGUGUAAACAUCGGUAGGGGAGCAUUCCACUCUGCGUCGAAGGUGAAGCGUGAGCUUUGCUGGAGCGUGUGGAAAAGCAAAUGUAGGUAUAAGUAACGAUAAAGGGGGUGAGAAACCCCCUCGCCGAAAGACUAAGGUUUCCUGAUCAACGCUAAUCGGAUCAGGGUUAGUCGGGUCCUAAGGCUCAGCCGAACGGUGAGGCCGAUGGCAGAACAGGUUAAUAUUCCUGUACUACCUUAAGGAGUGACGUGGAGACGGAGCAGUGAUAGCGCCGCGGACUGACGGAAUAGUCCGUUGAAGGGUGUAGAUGUUGAUCUUUGCAGGCAAAUCCACAAAGAGAGUCGAACCUGAUAGUAUACCAAAUUCUUCGGAAUAAGGUAAUAGUGCGUGUAAGCAUACUCCCAAGAAAAUCCGCUAAACUUAAUCUUUAAGGUACCCGUACCGCAAACGGACACACGUAGUCGGGUUGAAUAUACUAAGGCGCUUGAGUGAUUCACGGUUAAGGAACUAGGCAAAUUGACCCUGUAACUUCGGGAUAAAGGGUCCCAACGAGAGUGGGCGCAGAGAAUAGGUCCAGGCAACUGUUUAACAAAAACACAUGGCUGUGCUAAAUGGAAACAUGACGUAUACAGCCUGACACCUGCCCGGUGCUGGAAGGUUAAGAGGAGAUGUCAUCGCAAGAGAAGCGUUGAAUUGAAGCCCCAGUAAACGGCGGCCGUAACUAUAACGGUCCUAAGGUAGCGAAAUUCCUUGUCGGGUAAGUUCCGACCUGCACGAAUGG
rnacentral:rRNA from 1 species